rnacentral:sRNA from 1 species
GCCGGGCGUGGUGGCUCACGCCUGUAAUCCCAGCACUAUGGGAGGCUGAGGUGGGUGGAUCACCUGAGGUCAGGAGGUCAAAACCAGCCUGACCAACAUGGCGAAACCCCAUCUCUA